GUGUCAGCCGCCGCGGUAAUACGUAGGUGGCAAGCGUUGUCCGGAAUUAUUGGGCGUAAAGCGCGCGCAGGUGGAUUCUUAAGUCUGAUGUGAAAGCCCCCGGCUUAACCUUGGGGCUUCAUUGCAAACUGGAUGGCUUGAGUGCAGAAGAGGAAAGUAGAAUUCCAAGUGUAGCGGUGAAAUGCGUAGAGAUUUGGAGGAAGACCAGUGGCGAAGGCGUCUUUCUGGUCUGCAACUGACGCUGAGGCGUGAAAGCAUGGGGAGCAAAAAGGAUGAGAUACCCUGGUAGUCCAUGCCGUAAACGAUGAGUGCUAAGUGUUAGGGGGUUUCCGCCCCUUAGUGCUGCAGCUAACGCAUUAAGUACUCCGCCUGGGGAGUACGACAGCAAGGUUGAAACUCAAAUGAAUUGACGG
rnacentral:rRNA from 1 species